rnacentral:rRNA from 1 species
AUUGAACGCUGGCGGCGUGCCUUACACAUGCAAGUCGAACGGUAACAGGGUGCUUGCACCGCUGACGAGUGGCGAACGGGUGAGUAAUGCGUCGGAACGUGCCGAGUAGUGGGGGAUAACGCAGCGAAAGUUGUGCUAAUACCGCAUACGUACUGAGGUAGAAAGUGGGGGACCUUCGGGCCUCACGCUAUUCGAGCGGCCGACGUCUGAUUAGCUAGUAGGUGAGGUAAGAGCUCACCUAGGCGACGAUCAGUAGCGGGUCUGCGAGGAUGAGCCGCCACACUGGGAAUGGAGACCGGCCCAGACUCCUACGGGAGGCAGCAGUGGGUAAUUUUGGACAAUGGGCGCAAGCCUGAUCCAGCCAUGCCGCGUGUCUGAAGAAGGCCUUCGGGUUGUAAAGGACUUUUGUCAGGGAGGAAAUCCUAGUGGCUAAUAACUGCUGGGGAUGACAGUACCUGAAGAAUAAGCACCGGCUAACUACGUGCCAGCCGCCGCUGUAACAC